UUAUAUUGGUAUGGAGAGAAGAGGAGUUGAAGAGGAGAAGAGAUGGAGAAGCUUAGGGGGUUUGGGUGUGAAUGGUACGGACGUCCGUACAAGGCCGUACAUGGCCGUACCGUCCGUACCAAAGGUCUCGACCAAAACUUACCCAACACGACCAAGUGAAACGGUAACAAGGGAGUGUUACCUUGGGGACUUAAGGAGAAGGGAUCAGACCGUUGAGUGGAUAAGGGAAGAGCGUGCCAGGCUGGAACAGGCUGUAAAGAGGCAAAGCGUGUG
rnacentral:lncRNA from 1 species